AAAGGCGUGUAUCUUGCUGAAACUUCACAAGUUGAUAAACAACUAUAGAAGAUGGAUCGAAGACUUCUUACCAUUCUGCUUAUUGGGCUCGUCUGCUUCGCUCAGCUGGGAGAGAGUCACUAUUAUCAUUAUUAUGACGAAAAGAAAAACGAUUUUUUGUACGACAUGCUGGAUGAUGAAGGCGAUGAAAUGGCGAGCAAAAUCAAAAGGAAAAAUGAUCUUUUCUAUUAUUGGUAAACCAUCAGCUAAAAUGCAGCAUUUGCUACUAAUGAACCAACGUAGCUGAAUAAAACAACAAGACCACA